AUAUUAACCAAUGACAGGAAAGCUCGGGAAAUCCCACCCCUAUCUCCAAGCCAAACACCGGGUCAGCCCUCAAUUCUUGGCCGGUGGAGGCAUCACCUCGUUCGGCUUGCGCUUUAUACUUUCGACGAGGUGCAUAACUCCAGCCCAGAAACAAUACCUGAAUAGAUAGCCUACGUUUAUUGCUCUUUAGUCGCUUUCAUUAUAGCCUAGAGGUAGGCUAAAUCAAGUUAGUAGGCGAUACCGGUGAUUGAUUUUUUAAAGUAUUAAUUUAGCUCAGGAAAACGAAGAUUCCAAAUAGAUUAGUUGUGGUUCCAUUUCAUGUGAAGAUUAUGUUGUCAGUUUAGGUCAAUUUACUUCAUAGCCAUUAUAUCUGGUUUCGUUUGUUUAUAAAUCCGCGUGCAGUUAUAUCUGUUGAAGUGUUGAUCGUGGUUUGGCCAAAAUAGCAUACAGUUAGUUUCCUCACUGGUUGUGCUUAAUGAUAUACUUACACAGACUAUGCUGAGACGGAAAGAGAGUCCACAGCCACCCGUACCUGAAUGGUGGGCAAUCGGACUCGAUGUAGUGAUUAUAUUUCAGGGCUGUCCAUUUCCGUGACUCGCUGCUGUUUUGUGAACGAUUCACAGCAAGGACAGCGACUAAUAAACCGGACAUUGGCACUUUAAAAACUGCCCCGGGCCAUUUGAAUAGCGUAGAGACAGAUGCUGCGUCGAGGCAAGAAGAAAAGAAAAACAAAUGAAUUUCGAGGGCAAAAUCGACAGAUAUAUAACGCGCAUAAACUGAAACAUUUUCAGCAUAAACUGAAAUAUGUCUCUCUGAGCGUGAGGGCACAACAGCGUCCUGACUCGCCUAAACAGUUUAUUGGUUGAAAACACACAAUACUCCAUGCAGCUCCGGGAAUGUUCCUGUCUGCAGCCGGCCCUCUCCUCCCCGGCUUCCCAAACUUUGAUCAGCGAGGCCUGGCCGCGGAGCCGCUUGAGCCGUGCAGCAUAGUUUGCUGGCAGAGGAGGAUGGGUAUAAAUGGCGACUGUCACAGGAGAGGAGGGUAAAAAACCAGGGUCAUGUUCAGGAGGCAGACAACGUUUUGAAACAGAGUGAAACAGCUAAGGUGUGCCCUCCUUUAACAGGCCCCUACCCCUGGUAGAGGUGCCAGCUGGGGCACUGGCCUGGGCAUGGUUCCCUCAGACUCAGAGAGACAUUGGCAUGCAGGGCCCAGUGGUCAGACAGGGAAAUGGUUCCAAUCGUUUUUUCCAUCAUUAAUUUUUCCCAUAGGGGAAUUUAGAAACACUUAAAAUUAGGGCUGUGUUUCUUGUAGGCUUACUUUGGUGUGAUGUUAUGAUAACCAUGUAAAUCUCUCUCGGACAAGGUGACUUAUCAAUAUAUUUGGCUCUAUUUACUCUCAAGAUUCAAAAAUGCUAAUUAGCUUCAAAGUAGACGUCACGCAAAACUACAAAUCUCUGCAAGCUCCUGCACGUCAUCUCUAGCUGACACCUCUGCUAUCAGGUAUUGUGUCAAUUUAAAACUGGCAAAAGGGCAGUGCUGAGGCGUCACUACAGCCUCGGGUUCGAUCCCAGCCGGCUGUGACCGGGAGACAGGCAAAUUAUUGAUAAAAGUAACCCUGUCCUAGACAGAUUUACACGGUUAUCAAAACGUCACACCAGGGUAACCCUACAUGAAACACAGCCCUUAUUUUAAGUGUUUAUAAAAUCCCCCAUGAAUGAUGAUGAAUGGUGGAAAAAUGAUUUGAACCAUUUCCCUGUUUGACCGCUAGUUAUGGGUAUAUGACUCAUACUGUGGUACUCUAUGGGUGGACAAGUCAUAUGUGCUGUAAUUUGUUGAUUAAACUGACAUUACAAAAAAAUACAUUAGUUUGAAUGAACAUGGAAAUGAUUGCAUCACAUUACCAGGCAGCCACUGUAAGUGUACCCAUGUGUUUACCAAUCAAAAAUGCCAGGGUUAGAAGUUCCAAGCCCAUUCAAUUCAUUAUUUUUCUAUGGGGCAAACAACCUGAAGGCAAGAGCAGAGCCAGUGCUUGUUGGCCUGAGUAUGCCUGCUCAAACACAUUCACAUGGCCAUUGUUUCAGUCUCUGGCCUGGUUUUGCUCCUGUCUAAGGUAAGUGAAAUGCAUUUAAAAAUAGGGGCCCUACAUCAAUUAGUCUUGUACUGAUUUUUGAUUCUUGAACAUUUUGUAGUUCAUUUGAUUCUUGUUCUGAGUGUCAGAUAAGUUUUAGAGUGUUGUAUUCACAGUCUGCUUUUCCACAAUAAACUGGCAGAAAAUGUG